GCGAAUCCCACGCUAGGAAACCCUAGCCGCCGGCUGCCAAUCCGCUCGCGAGUCGCCCGCUCCUGCCCCUCCCCACGUUCUUCUCCUCCCUCUCUCCUCUAUCCUGCCUCCUCCCUGGUGCUCAGCAGGAGGAGCACGAGGCGCCGCCGUAUGUCGUCGUCCUCCCAAUCUCAGCGCCAUUCUCCUCACCCAAUCGCUGGUGUCCCUCACCUGGGAGCUUGGUCUCCGACGAGCACGAGAAGAGGAGGCCGCUGCUGCUCGCCCGGAGCUCGGUCUUCGACGAGCGCGAGAGGAGGAGGCCGCCGUUGCCUUGUACAAGGUGGGCUGCUGUCUCGCCCAGCCAUCCUCCUUUUCCUCCGCAUCGGGGCUGCCUCAGCAGCAGCUGGAGCCGGCUGUCGGCGUGGGGACGGCAGAUCCCGGCGGUCGGCGCGGGGACGGCGGAUCCCGGCGCCUUGAGGUGUACAGCCGGCCGUGAACUGCAACCUCCAGCCAUGGAUGAAGGCAUUUCGGCUGUGGACUGCCUCCUCGUCUCACAGUCUUCCUCGUGCAUAGCAGCAACAGCAGGGAACCGAGCUCCAAUGACUGCUAUGACAUGACGUGGAGAUGAGGUUACAAGAGCAGAGAUGGAGUCGCUAGCGGUGGUCAUGGGUCGAUGGUCUAAAAACUGACUAGAGUAAUUCUUCUCCGUGGUAUAUGUGUGUAGGUUGUCAAAAUAAGCUUCCUGCAAUUGGUCCUGGGUGGAGUGUGAAACAGUUCUGAACCAGCUACCAGGCAGGUAGUGACUUGGAUGGUAAUACAGUUACAUGAAAGGAGUACAAACCCAUGACGUUCGCAUCCAGGUAGUAAACAAGGCAGUCCGGUUGGCCAACAUUGUGCCUUGCAUUUUGGGAAAGACCCUAAAUGAUGUUCAGUUCAAAGGAUACACAAUUCCGGCAGGAUGGGGGUUGAUGGUAUGCCCACUAGCAGUGCACUUGAAUCCAAAUAUUUACCUACAUCCUCUCAUUUUCAGUGCUUCAAAGUUUAAGGUUCUUUUCAACAGCAAUAUUUGAGUCAUGUUCGGCCGUAUCAGUUGGUUCUGUUUGUUAUCCUUUUUCAGAGUGUUCAUCUUCAGGUGCUAUGUCAGAAUGGAUUUUAACUAUGAGAACAAGGCAGUGCCAGCUCAACUGGAGAAAACGCAAGAGUUGUUGGACAAGCACAUAGUACACGUCUGGCCAUGCCCCGUUUCACCUUUCUCUCGUCAUGACAAGAAGGAAGAGAAGUCUCUACAAUCCUCGAGGGAAUCACCUCUAGCAAGCAAGUAGCUCCUAAAGAAAUUUGAUGAUUAUCAUGCCUUGCAAUGCCCCAUUCAGCUUUAGUUUAGUAGACAGCUGGUUAACUGCUUCCUGAAGUGACUGUAUGAUGCAAAGCUAUGGUUCUUUUCGAAGAUGGCUAGAGAAAUGGCCCAGGAAAUCAGCUUUUGUUAGACUUGCUGGUGAAGGAGAUUGGUCCCAUCAAUUUAAGUUUUUUCUGCCUUUGUAGAUGAAGAGUAGCGAAUUGUUUGGACUGAAUUCUGAAUAUGCUGCAUUUGUGCCAUGUGAGAGAAAUAGCAUAUUGUUAUCAUCUUGAAAUAGUAGACAAAAAUGUACAUUGAGGAGCUCGUCACUUCAGUACAGACUACAGAGAGAUGACGGCUUGAGAUAUAGUCGCAACACCAUCAUUGGCUGCAAGAAUUUGCUCCCUGGAAGCGGAAAUGUCAAGACGGUAGCCUCAUAUUUUCCCCUCACGUGACGAAUUCAUAAAAGAACAAUAUUUUGGUUGUCCAUGCAAUCCAACAAUUGAAUGCAGUAUUUUGCUCAUACAAGAGAAGCAACCAAAGAUCAUACAUCAGCUACAGAGCUCCGCUGUCUCCAUUCCCGUCUGCACGCUGCUGCCUCUAUCCUCUUCCCCUCUUCUUGGUGCAUAUAGUGCCUGGCUGGUCGGACGCUUUUGAUUGCUGGCCUACGGUUUGAGGUAAAAAUGUUUUGGGCAGAUCGCAAAUGGAAGAAUCACAGCGCACAUAAAACUAAGGGCACUAUCAUGUUUUGAGGUACAAGAUUUCGUGAUUUUUCUUCACAUUUGAUCUUUAAUCUCUUUUAUUCAUUUUCAUAAUAUAAGAUUGAUUAUAUGAGAUAUUGCUGCAUGCUUAUAUGCUUAAAAAAGGUUCUUGAGGGGCUCUCCUGUGCAUUAUAUGAUUGUACCUCACUCUCCUUGUGUGCUCAAUGAAGAUGAAGAUACCCUUUAUUUCCUACAGUGGCUUGGGAAGGGGAGUAAUACCGUUACUUGCUGGGUAAAAGGCCAGAGAAACGUUGUUGCGUCUGCUCCGAGUGUAGAGGUCUUCCAUGGCGGUGCAGGGCCAAGGUCCUCCAUUUGGUGAUGGCAGUGGUGUUAGCAUUUGGCGGUGCACCCACAUUAGAUUUAUGUUUUCGAUGCGUUGUGGCCUCUAAAGAUCGAACUGCAACGAGAUUAUUUAGAUGUUAUAACUUUUGUACCUUCUAUUAUUGUCAAAAGGAAAUACAGAAUGUUAGUUAUUGUAGUAUAUUUAGCUAUUUUCUUGAUUGUGUAUAAACAUUUCUGUUCUUUUCCAAAUUUGUGUGUUUAGUUAUAAUAUCACUCUAUUAAUUUUGUUUUCUAAAUCCUCUAAAAUGCAUUUCUAUUUAAAUGUGGAUCUGUUCGAACUUCACGGGAUCGUGCGCCAAGGCGCACAUCUAAAUCUAGUUGCUAUAAUUCUUGGUACUGCUUCCUCCAUCCUCCAGGUAUGUGUACUUGGGUAUCUGAAAAUAUAUGCAGUGUGUUGGAUUUUUUGAACUCAGUAUAUGAAAUUUGAUACAAAUUUGUUUUUAUAAAAAUUGUAGCCAUUUUUGUGCUGUUUACCUGGGUUCCUAUUAUGAAAUCAACCUCCAAAUUCGAAUCUGUUGCAAAUGAAAUUUAAGAUGUCAGCUAUUAGCAGUUAAUGAAAUUUGAAGAACUGACCAAUGAUGCAUCAUGUUUUAGCAAUUUUUUUUGGAGAAAGGGCUGAGCAAGGUUUUUGCCCUCUUUUUGUUCUUGAUGCAUCAGGUUUUAUCAAGUUUGGUUCGUUUUCUUCAAGAACUGACCAAGGAUGAAUCAGGUUUUAGCAAGAUUUUUGGGGGAAAGGGGCUGAGCAAGGUCGUCAGAGUUUGGCCAGAAAGACAGACCGAGAGAGAUUUACCAUGUUUAGGUGGAGGUGGAAGAAAGGAAAACGAAUCUGGGAGUGGUUGCGUUGUGUUGCGUUAUUUACUGCUUCUGGUAAUCGUCAGGGGUAUUUUUGUAAUUUUUAUCGUCCUUUCUGAUGAUCGAGAGAGAUCUGGCUGGGAGUAGUUGAUUUCGUACGCUUCAAGUUGGGCUUUUGUUUCUGAAGAAGCCCAAUAACAAAAA